UACGGGGGGGCAAGCGUUGUUCGGAAUUACUGGGCGUAAAGGGCUCGUAGGUGGCCAACUAAGUCAGACGUGAAAUCCCUCGGCUUAACCGGGGAACUGCGUCUGAUACUGGAUGGCUUGAGUUCGGGAGAGGGAUGCGGAAUUCCAGGUGUAGCGGUGAAAUGCGUAGAUAUCUGGAGGAACACCGGUGGCGAAGGCAGCACUCUGGGACGGUACUGACGCUGAGACGCGAAAGCGUGGGGAGCAAACAGG
rnacentral:rRNA from 1 species